AUUGAACGCUGGCGGCGUGCUUAACACAUGCAAGUCGAGCGGUAACAGGCGUAGCAAUACGUGCUGACGAGCGGCGAACGGGUGCGUAAUACAUGGGAAUCUGCCUAGUAGUGGGGAAUAACCCGGCGAAAGCCGGGCUAAUGCCGCAUACGAUCCACGGAUGAAAGCGGGGGACCUUCGGGCCUCGCGCUAUUAGAUGAGCCCAUGUCGGAUUAGCUAGUUGGGAGGUAACGGCUCACCAAGGCGACGAUCCGUAGCUGGUCUGAGAGGACGGCCAGCCACACUGGGACUGAGACACGGCCCAGACUCCUACGGGAGGCAGCAGUGGGGAAUA
rnacentral:rRNA from 1 species